AAAAAAAUAAAAAAAAAUAUAUACAUGAGUUAGAAAAAAUUAUGAAAAUGAAAUCAAAAUAAGUAUUAAAAUUAACAUAAAAUAAUGUGAGGAAAAAAAUUUAAAAAAAUAUUAAGAGUAAUUUUUAAAAAUUAUUUAAGUUUAUAUUUUUUUUAAUAAUAAGGUGUAUUUAUAAUUUUAUGGGGUGCAAAUAUAACUACUCAAAGGAAAAACAUCCCCUAUUAAAAUAGGUGGAGAACAUUUCCUUUAUUUUCUCCCUAAUUUUUGUAGGCCUCACUACUUUCUCCCUUUUUAAAAUUUAGUGAACAAUUGUAUGGAAACUAAUACCAUAUAAGACAACCACUUUAGAAACCCAAACAGUAAAUUUAGAAAAAAAAAAAUUAAAAAAACAAUAUAUGAAAUAAUUUUUCUUAAAAUAUUUAUCUUUUCGUCAGCUUGAUUUGGCAGUUACACUAAAUUACAUGAAUCUACUAUUUUUCUUUGAGCUAUUUCACUUUAUAACAUAUAUAACUGUAUCAUACCAUGUACAUGAAUCACAUGAAAGUGUCUAUCUAAUUUAAAUAAUAAAUAUUGGGUCCUGUGUUUUGCAAAAGUUACAGAUUAGACCCUGUGUUUUGUUAAAUGACAAAAUGGACCCUGUAUUUUCUAAAAUAGUAAAAAUAGGACCCUGAGCUUAAUUUUUGAUAACUUUUUUUUUAAUACAACUAACUUGAAGACAAUACUUAAUACGAACAGACACAAAAAAUGUAAACAGUUUUGUCAUAUAGCACUUUUAGAUCGGAUUAUAAUUAAACUUUAUUUGGACAAAAAAUCAAUUCAGGGUCUUAUUUGUACUAUUUUAGAAAAUACAGGGUCCAUUUUGUCAUUUAACAAAACACAGGGUCCAAUUAGUAACUUUUGUAAAAUAGAGGGUCCAAAAUAGUAUUUACCCAUAAAUAUUUAACCUUUUUGUCGGUUUAAUUUUACAAUAAAAUUAUAUGAAUUUACCGUUUUUCUUUUAGCGGUUUUACUUUAUAACCGAUAUGACUAUCUUACAUGUGUGAAUUACAUAAAAUUUUCCAUUCAAAAUUAUAUUUUACCGUCAUUUUUAUCGAUUUUAAUUUAUCUAUAACCACAUCAUCAAUCUCAUCAUCGGUCUUAUCGAAUAAACUCUAUAAAUAUAACUUCACUUCUCAAGAAAAAUAUAGAGUUUAACUUUUUCCUUUCUACCUGUAAGAAAUCCAAAACUUCACAAAAAUAAAAAUGGUAGAAAAAAGUAUUCUUGAUUUUAGAAUUUUUUCCAUCUCCAAAAAAAGACUAAUUUUGGAGCUUUAGAAAUGAGUGGCAUGGGAAAAUAAAACAGAGCUUCUAAAAUUUUCUUCAACUAUCAGUCAGUUGCAGCUCAGACACUUCUCUUGCUCCACAUGAGGAGGAAAACACGGCAUCCGGCGCCAUGAUCAGCGGAUAGAGGACAGUCUUUUAAGAAACAUUUUGUAGGUAUCAUCCCUAUCCAACAUGCUAACCCGAACAUAACUCGAGCUCGCGCCAAAAUGCCGCCCUCCUCGUGUCAAUAUUUUGUGGCCUUUAAGGAAGCUUUCGCAGUCCUCAAUGCCAUCUUUACAUCUUAGCCACGCAAAAGCUGCAUAUGUUAAGAUGAGGCUGCAGGACUUUACUGUGGAAAUGGCAGAAGGCAGGAGAAAACUGAGGCAAGCUAAAGAUGCCUCCGCUCUUACUCACAGUCUCUCUGAGUUGUUGCCAUCUCUUUUCCAUGAGAUGGUAACUGAACUC